GACGAACGCUGGCGGCGUGCUUAACACAUGCAAGUCGAACGGAAAGGCCUCUUUCGGGGGGUACUCGAGUGGCGAACGGGUGAGUAACACGUGAGUAACCUGCCCUUGACUUUGGGAUAACUUCAGUAAACUGGGGCUAAUACCGGAUAGGAGCUCCUGCUGCAUGGUGGGGGUUGGAAAGUUUCGGCGGUUGGGGAUGGACUCGCGGCUUAUCAGCUUGUUGGUGGGGUAGUGGCUUACCAAGGCUUUGACGGGUAGCCGGCCUGAGAGGGUGACCGGCCACAUUGGGACUGAGAUACGGCCCAGACUCCUACGGGAGGCAGCAGUGGGGAAUAUUGCACAAUGGGUGGAAGCCUGAUGCAGCAACGCCGUGUGCGGGAUGACGGCCUUCGGGUUGUAAACCGCUUUCGCUCAUGACGAAGCUUUGUGUGACGGUAGUGGGUAAAGAAGCACCGGCUAACUACGU
rnacentral:rRNA from 1 species